rnacentral:rRNA from 1 species
CAAGUCGAACGCGAAAGCCCCUUCGGGGGUAAGUAGAGUGGCGUCCGGGUGAGUAACACGUAGGUAAUCUACCUCUGGGUGGGGAAUAACGUCUCGAAAGAGACGCUAAUACCGCAUAAUGCAGCGGCACCUAAUGGUGAAUAGUUGUUAAAGCGGGGGACCUUCGGGCCUCGCGCCUGGAGAGGAGCCUGCGGCAGAUUAGCUAGUUGGUGAGGUAAUGGCUCACCAAGGCGACGAUCUGUAGCUGGUCUGAGAGGACGGCCAGCCACACUGGCACUGACACACGGGCCAGACUCCUACGGGAGGCAGCAGUGGGGAAUUUUGGGCAAUGGGCGCAAGCCUGACCCAGCAACGCCGCGUGAGGGAGGAAAUCCUUCGGGAUGUAAACCUCACAAGCAAGGGAAGAGCGCGCAGGGGUGAAUACCCCCUGCGUCCGACGGUACCUUGCGUAAGCCACGGCUAACUACGUGCCAGCAGCCGCGGUAAUACGUAGGUGGCAAGCGUUGUUCGGAAUUAUUGGGCGUAAAGGGCGCGUAGGCGGUCUUGUAAGUCAGCUGUGAAAGCCCGGGGCUCAACCCCGGAGGGUCGGCUGAUACUGCAGGACUGGAGUACGGAAGAGGUAGCUGGAAUUCCCGGCGUAGCGGUGAAAUGCGUAGAUAUCGGGAGGAACACCUGAGGCGAAGGCGGGCUACUGGGCCGAUACUGACGCUGAUGCGCGAAAGCCAGGGGAGCAAACGGGAUUAGAUACCCCGGUAGUCCUGGCCCUAAACGAUGGAUACUUGGUGUGUCGGGUCUUCAAGUCCCGGC